ACAAAAAAAUGUUUUGUAAGAGCCGCCAUAAAGUUUCCAAGUCAAGUGGAAUGGAAGCAGAAAAUUCAAAAGUCAAAAAGUCAACAAGAGCAUACUAGUUUAUGAUAUUGCUGUCGCCUGUCACCUCCAUCAUCUGUUUAGAUAAAAUACUUAAAAAGUCUGUCAAGUUUGAUAAUUCAGCUUGUGUGUGGGGGUAUUUAUCUAUCAAGUUGUGUAUAAAGUAAAGAGAGGUCUCAAACAAAUAACAAUCAAGAAAACUUUUCUUCUCACCUUUUCAUUUAUCAUGGACAGAUCUCAAGAGCUCUAUGCAGAUGGUAAGGAAGCAGCAGCUUGUAGUGUACAUGGUUUGACUCUUUU
rnacentral:lncRNA from 1 species